rnacentral:rRNA from 1 species
UACGAAGGGGGCUAGCGUUGUUCGGAAUUACUGGGCGUAAAGCGCACGUAGGCGGAAUGUUUAGUCAGGGGUGAAAUCCCGGGGCUCAACCCCGGAACUGCCUUUGAUACUGGCAUUCUCGAGUCCGGAAGAGGUGAGUGGAAUUCCGAGUGUAGAGGUGAAAUUCGUAGAUAUUCGGAGGAACACCAGUGGCGAAGGCGGGUCUCUGGACAGUUCCUGACGCUGAGGGACGAAGGUCAGGGGAGCAAACGGG